GGAUCUGCCGAAUGGNGGGGGACAACAGUUGGAAACGACUGCUAAUACCGCAUAAUGUCGCGAGACCNAAGCAUGGGACCUUAGGGCCAUGCGCCAUUUGAUGAACCCAUAUGGGAUUAGCUAGUAGGUGAGGUAAUGGCUCACCUAGGCGACGAUCUCUAGCUGGUCUGAGAGGAUGACCAGCCACACUGGGACUGAGACACGGCCCAGACUCCUACGGGAGGCAGCAGUGGGGAAUAUUGCACAAUGGGGGAAACCCUGAUGCAGCCAUGCCGCGUGUAUGAAGAAGGCCUUCGGGUUGUAAAGUACUUUCGGUAGCGAGGAAGGGGUUAUAUCUAAUAGGUGUAACCAUUGACGUUAACUACAGAAGAAGCACCGGCUAACUCCGUGCCAGCAGCCGCGGUAAUACGGAGGGUGCGAGCGUUAAUCGGAAUGACUGGGCGUAAAGGGCAUGUAGGCGGAUAGUUAAGUUAGGUGUGAAAGCCCCGGGCUCAACCUGGGAGUUGCAUUUAAAACUGGUUAUCUGGAGUAUUGUAGANGAAGGUAGAAUUCCAUGUGUAGCGGUGAAAUGCGUANAGAUGUGGAGNAAUACCGGUGGC
rnacentral:rRNA from 1 species